AAAGAUCCCAGUGCACUCAAGGAAAGAGAAGUCCCCCAACAUCCUUCCUGCUUAUUCUUCCAAUAUAACACACAGCUGGGCCCACCUUACCACAUCCUGGUUGAUACCAACUUUAUCAACUUUUCCAUUAAAGCAAAACUUGACUUAGUACAGUCAAUGAUGGACUGUCUGUAUGCCAAGUGUAUCCCUUGUAUAACUGACUGUGUAAUGGCUGAAAUUGAGAAACUGGGGCAAAAGUAUCGAAUGGCUCUAAGGAUUGCCAAGGAUCCAAGAUUUGAACGAUUACCAUGCACACACAAAGGAACCUAUGCAGAUGACUGCUUAGUACAGAGAGUAACUCAGCACAAGUGUUACAUUGUGGCCACAGUUGACCGGGACCUUAAACGAAGGAUCCGGAAGAUCCCUGGAGUUCCCAUCAUGUACAUUUCUAACCAUAGGUACAACAUUGAGCGGAUGCCAGAUGAUUAUGGAGCCCCUCAGUUCUAAUUCUUAAAAGAUAGAGUUCCUCUGCCUUCCUUUACCAACUUUUUCUGUUGCCUGUUCGUAUUAGCAGUAUGCUGUAGCAUGAAUUAUUCUUCUUACCCAUUUGCUCUGUUAUGAGCUGACUAUGGUUAAAAACACUCACUUUUUGAUGUUUUGAAAUUGAUAUUUUGUAUCAUUUUAAAUAUUGUUGCAUCUUUUUAUAAAUCAGAUGAUUG